UGCCCAGCAAAUCCUGUCCCUACCUACGCGUGGCACCGACUGGGCUGCGCGCAACCUAAGGGAAGCUCGGAUUACCAACGAACUUUGGUCGUAGGCUGACAGGAAAGG
rnacentral:ribozyme from 1 species